GUUUGAGCGAGAGGGAGAGAGAGAGAGAGCUGAUGUGUGUGUGUGUGAGUGUGUAUGUGUGUGUGAGUGUGUGUGUGUAAGGAAGAGGGGGUAUUAUGCACCCUGGAUGUUGCCUCGUGCUUUAAACAGCUGCCUACAAGCCCAGGUAGUGCGCGCCGGCUUCUAAAUAAGCAGCACAUUCACCGUCCCCUUCAGGACAAGAGGCUAGGCUGCAGAGUGUGAAAUCAGACUAAUACAGUGGCGUAGGGCUGAGCAGGAGCAGGAAGCAGCUCCUGCAUGACUUACUUAGUCAAGAGGUUUAGAGGACAAGAACCAGCAGAAGAAAAAGAGGGGAUUGGACGUGGGAGAGAAAGGGGAGGAAAAAAAGACAGUAAGGACUGUGAGGGAAGCUUUUCCUCUGCUUCACAGUUGGUUGCAUUCUGGUCUGUGUAAAGAACACGUUUGAUCAGCCUGUGCUGCCUACCAGAUCUCCUGUGGCCCAAAGGUGAUGGUGUCAUCCUGACUUGUUCUUCUCGUGACCUGGGAGUCCCUAAAUCCCGAACCGUAUAGCUUUGGAAAACCCUGGAAAUACCUGGAAUUCUAGGAGUAUAUCACCAAAACUUCUUAAGGUGCCCAGGCACCGGAUCAAUAGCUUUACAUUCUCCUUUAUUAUUUUUUUCUGUAUACAAAGAAAGAGACGAAAGUCUGAACAUUAGCAAUAGCCGCUGGCCAUCCACCAUUGCUCCGACGAACCUGCUGUGACCGAGAGGGCGUGACCUUUCUGCCUGCUGACUUCAAACAGACACUUGAAAAGAAAACGCAGUCAGAGAGGCUUCCGCGUGGUGGCAACUCAGACCAAAAACCCCAUCAGGUAAGGCUGUGAAGUCCCCCUUGCUCCUGCUGUCCAAGCCCUAAGCCCUUUAACUUCUUCAGGGCUUUGAAGCUAACUUGUCCCCAGUCUGUGUCCCCCACACAGUUAGCUUCCCGUCAGAGUUUGUGCAAAGGAAAGGAUGGCGGAUAAAUGCCCCUCUUUUAUGCUCUGCUCACCUGUUUGUUCCUCUCAGAUUAGCGGCUCUGAAUAUGUUGAAGUUGUUUGGUUGGCAGACGCUCGCUCUGGGUUCUUCAUUGGCCCCUUGUAGAUUUGUCCAGUGACCAGCCAGAGCUAGAGCUAAUGUGCUAGAGACGUCACACAGCUUGGCGUGCUUGACCAGGUGGAUCACACAUACAUGAGCAUAUUCUCUGUGUGGAUGUGCAAACACAUGCUAUACAUACACAUACAGUAAACCUGCAGACCAACAUAUGUAAAUUUUCACAUUGAUAUGAAAUACUAAGUUUAAUGGUUUCAUAAAACAACAUGUCUACAGUAUACACUCUACUGUACCAUUUCUAUAACAGUUAUCAGUAACACCGUCAGUGAUGGGAUGUGUGAAUGUUCUCAGACGUGGGAGUUUUUUAGUUUACUAAGGGGACAAAAGUGAUUUUCUAGCAGAUAAAAUGUCCCCGCUGUUUGUGUGUGUGUUUACAGAUGGGCGUAUGUUAUAUUUUGAGUGUAUGUGUGUGUGGUGUGAGUAUAAGAAUAGACAAACAGUAUGUGUUUGAGUCUUGUAUCCAAAAAUGUGCAAAAACGGCACAUUUCUGAUGCAUGUGUGCACUUUUGGGCUUCAUAGCACAUGGUUGUGAAAUGAGUAUUCCCAUUCAGAGUGACUUUGAAAUUGAUUUCACUCAGUGUCACUCUUCUAGUUUUAUUAGGGUCUGGUUUCCCAGUUGUUUUCUCGAAGACUGACAACACAUUUUCAGUCGGUGAUUAAGACUUGAUCCCAGGUUAUCUGGACUAUAUUAAAUUAUUCUGCUUGAUAAGGGAAUCUGUGUGAUUUUAUUUUUUCUCAGGCAAUGACUUGGAAUCAAAUAGCGCCUGAUAUAAGGAUAUUGAGAUUAAGCUUUGUACCUUUGUGGCAAAGCACCCCCCCUCAACAACACCACCACCACCAUCACACAAAGGUAAAACAGCUAACUUUAGCUCCUCAGCUACAGAGGAAUGCAUUCUUUUUUGCCCUGAAAAUAGGCCUAAUUAAAAAUAAAAAGUACUUAUACAAUUAUAUGAAUAUACUUUAAUAAAGAUGACAGUGAAAACAGCAGGACGUACCGAUUGAGAUGAGUUAUGUCGUUAAGGAUCUAAAGAGCUUUCUUUGUAAAGUUCAAAGUAAUUUUAGCAAAUUUAGGUCACUGAAAUUUAGUACCCAGCAGCAAGUCAUUGUUUUGAAAAUGAGAAUGAAAGAAGAGAAAAUAAAUAAACAGACACUUUUUCUCCUCUCUCCUGCAUCUUUAAAGAUUAUUUUUAGUAUGGGGAAAAAUAAAACACUUGAAAGCGCGAGAAACAAUAUUUAUCGUUGCCGAGCUAAUUAAGGACGUGAUCUGAAACGUGUUUUCUGUAAAGUGUGAUUUCGGACCCAAAGGGUCAGCUGCCUCACAAUAGGACAAAGAUAAUACAGCAGAAGUCAGGGGUGGAGAGGGCUCCAGUCUGGAGGAAAGCAGCUCCCCUCCCUGGCCUGUGUGCUGAUGGAGCUGCACUCCUUGCCCAGGGCUCCAGGGCUCCGACACUAGACCUUAUUUUUCAUGUGGGCUGCACACUGUUCUGCUGCAGUCGGGGUUGCUCCCUUUGUGCCAGCCCUCCCCCUUUUAGAGCCAAAGACAUGCAUGAUUUCAUACAUGAAAGAUAUAUGUAAUUGGACAGCAGGGCCUAUGCAAUACAUUUACAAUUCUAAACAGAAUACGUUAAAACUGGCUUCCUCUGUCUCGCCCCCUUUUCUUCCUGAGGAAAUGUA